rnacentral:rRNA from 1 species
AACGUAGGUUCCGAGCGUUAUCCGGAUUUACUGGGCGUAAAGCGCGUUCAGGCGGUUUGGCAAGUCGGGCAUGAAAUCUCUGGGCUCAACCCGGAGAGGUUGUCCGAUACUGCUAAACUGGAGGGCGGCAGAGGGUGGUGGAAUUCCGGGUGUAGUGGUGAAAUGCGUAGAGAUGCGGAGGAACACCAGUGGCGAAGGCGGCCACCUGGACUGCACCUGACGCUGAAGCGCGAAAGCGAGGGGAGCGAACGGG